GACGAACCGUGCGAACGUUGUUCGGAUUCACUGGGCUUAAAGGGCGCGUAGGCGGGCGGUCAAGUCGGGGGUGAAAUCUUUCAGCUUAACUGGAAAAGUGCCUCCGAUACUGAUCGCCUCGAGGGAGGUAGGGGCAUGUGGAACUUCCGGUGGAGCGGUGAAAUGCGUAGAUAUCGGAAGGAACGCCGGUGGCGAAAGCGAUGUGCUGGACCUCUUCUGACGCUGAGGCGCGAAAGCUAGGGGAGCAAACGGG
rnacentral:rRNA from 1 species